rnacentral:rRNA from 1 species
GCCGCCUCCUCGCGCACUCCUGCACUCGCGCCCGCUCCUCCCGCACGCGCGCCGCGCCCUCACCUCUCUCUCCCCCUCCAAACCCUACCCCACGCCGCUGUCCAGGUCCAGCCCCACGCCGCCAUCGUCUUCUUCGCCCAGCCGGCCGCCGCCGCACCGCACGCUCGUGCGCAGGGGCGAGAAGGGGAACCGCCGCCCGCUCCCGGAGCGCGAGGAGGACGAGGUGAGGCAGCGCCCAGAUCCACGGCGGCAUCGACGCGCCGUCGUCGACCUGAGCCGCCACCGUCCUCGAGGUCGGCCAUGGAGGGGGGGGGGGGGUCCGACCCAGCUGCAGCCGUCGUCCAGACCAAGAUGCCCAAACAGUUCCUGCUGAUCCAGACGAAGAUCCUCGAUUUCUUCAAGAUCCAGCGGCGCCCGGCAGCCGCGGUGGCCGAGCCGCCGGAGGGGAAGAAGAGGAAGCGGAAGGCCGCCAGCGCGCUGGUGGUGUCCGAGAAGAAGAGCAGGAAGCUACCCUUCACCCCCAGCAAGACCCCGUCCGGCGCCUCACGCAGAUGGCCUCGCUCGCCACGGCGCUCACGGCCACCAGCGCCGUCUUCAGCAACGACCUCACCUACGUGCCCGGCAUGGCGCCCCGGUCCGCCAACCAAUCCGCCCUCGUGGCAGGAGGGAUGCAGGUGCUGCCAAGGGAGAAUGCAGAGACAUUGAGCCUAUGGAAGAGGAUGAUGGAGCAAGGGGCCUCUCCUCGUCGUCUUCAAUCCGGUGGAAGGGAUUGGAGCCCUUGAAGCAUUUGAAUGGAGCAUAUGUAUGCACGUUGCACUUCAUCUUAGAUAUGUAAUGAUGUUGCAAUUGCUAAGAUAAUGGAAGCAACACUUAUUUUGCCAGUUCUGAAGCAGGACCAAAUAUGGAAAGACCAGGCGUAAGUGCUACUUUCUCUUGUACUAGGUGUCCCUCUUUUCUGAAUAAUCACAUUGCCUUCGCUUAAUCUGCUAAUUUGAGUCGUUUGUGGUUCCUUCCUAGGCUCCUAACUAACUGCAUAGAUACUAAUUAUUAGUAUAUUGUGCUACACCAUAAUUAGUGCUAAGUGAGCUGUGUCUAUGGUUUACACUGUCAUCCGUGAAGCCGGCGCUGUCAUCUUCUCGCGUGGCUGCCUCCAGCCCAUCCAACCCUCUGCUCUCCUCCACCAGGUGAAAGCAGCACCACCGCACACGCCCUGCCGUCGUGACUGCCGAUGACCUACGGGCCCGUCUCUCUCUCAAUCUCAAUCUCCUUGUGGACUGAAAGUUGGUGCCAUGUGAUAAUUUUAUGUGAUUUGAUGCCUCUGGUUCUUCCACGAUAAUUAUGUUUGUUGUCUUGAAGGAUGGCGUGGUUGAUGCAAUCCGUGUAUCCCUCACAGAUCCACUUGGAACUCAGGCUGCAAACCAUCAAAUAGUGGGUUGGGUACCAGACCGGAGAGGGGCGGGGAGGAGAGUUCUACGGCGGCAGCGCCAGGAUCAACGCGUGGGACCUGGAACUGAAGCCCGAUCAGGCCAGCUCGUCGGUCAUGUGGCUCGCCAGCGGCAACAAUCAGAUCAUGUCGGGUUUCAUGGUAUCCCCCGAGCAGUACAACGACACCGAUCUCCAUUUCUUCGUGUCAUGGACGGCCGAUGGGUUCAACGCCACGGGCUGCAUGGACACGGACUGCCAGGGCUUCGUGGGCUCCACGCCGCCGGCCAGCGUCUCCCCCGGGUCGACGGUCACGCCGACGUCCGUCUACCACGGCAAACAGACCGAGUACACCGUCACCAUCCUCCAGGUGGCUGGGAACUGGUCCCUCAUCGUGGACCUGUCGGGGGAGAACGAGACGGUCGGGUACUUGCCCGGCUCGCUGUUCACGGGCCUGGCGAGCAACGCGACGGUGGUCGGCUGGGGAGGCAACGCGCAGUCGUCGUCCGGCGCCGGGCCGCCGAUGGGGAGCGGACACGGGCCGGACGAGGGGGACGGCGUCGCGGCCUACGUGGCCAGCAUCGCGGUGUACGAUUCCAAGGGGAACGCCACCGCCCCGGCGGCCGGGAACGUGACGUCGCUCACGGACGCCGGAGACUGCUACGGUGCCAGCGAUUACGAGGUCGGAAAGGACGACGGCGGGUUCUUCUAUUACGGGGGGCCUCAAGGUUGCAACCACUAAAAUGUGAGGAUGGCUUCAUCAUGGGUGUCGAGACUCGAGACCAACAGUAGUCAUCAGAUAUGAUGAAUAAGUGGAUGAUUUAUAAUUACAGUACUACAUUUUAUCUAGCAAACAUGCAUGUGCGGUUACAAAUAAUGUAUGCUCAUAGCACAAUGAGCACGACUCAAGACCCGCUUUAGGUCCACGUUACCUAUUUCA